UGUGAACCCCUAAAUUAAAAGAGAGAUUAACAAGAGAAAACAAACAGAAGUUUAAUAAUAUGUAGACCUUCUGCAUACAUGGGAGAGACAGAGAAAAACUGAGUAACACCUGAAUAAUACCUCCAAAUGGCCCACGUCACCACCUUACCAUCUCCAGUGAAUAUUGCAGGGGUUUCCUCACUACACUCAUCACUAUGUUUAACUGGUAAUUACUGGAAUGGCUCUCUUACCUUUGCCUUCUGAAUGGUAAGGACAUGGACCAGCUCAGAGCACAUUCCGUUGGCAAGUUUGGCCUACGUCUGCGUUCAUUCAUCUCUCCUCACAUACUGUUGGUUUGAGCCAAUGCUAUGAAGUCUAAUGUACUCUCCGCAUCUUUGUCCUCUAGUUCUUAAAACUGCAAUAUAAAGUUAAUUCAUUACUAUAGAAUGCAACAGCAUGGAUGUUAAAAAACACUACACUGAGUAAAAGAAGCCAGACAUAAGAGGAUGUACUAUACGAUUCUAUUCACAGUAAACUCAAGAAAAGCCUCAUAUAGUCUAUUGUGAGAGAAAACAGAGGAGCUCUGCCUAGGUCUAGGGCCAGAGGAGGAUCCGCUGGAAAGUACAGGAAGGAAUUUUUAAAGUGAUGGAAAUACUCUAUAUUCUGGCUUGGGUGGUGCUCUCGUGGGUGCGGACAUGUAUCAAGAUUACUGAAAUGCGGUCUUUCAUAUGGAUGCCCUUUAUAUAGAUUAUAUUUCAACAAAGUGUGUUAAAAUAG